CUGGCACAGCAUCUAGAAGUGUUUAAAUAUCAGUACUACAGUCUUUUGUGCCAAGCAUGGCAAUUUCACAAACGGACUCAACUAUAUAAUCAUUAUGCAUCAAAGGAUUAAAAUAGAAAGACCUCUCACCUUCUAGAUUCCACAAGCAGAGCACGCUGUUCAGAUGUUUUAUCAGCACUAACAUCUCUCUCUCUAGCAGUAUAGCUGCACAAAAAUAACCAGGCUACAUCAAUCAGAUGAUCAGCAGGGCACAAAGAUCGCAAUGUAUCAUGUAUUGAUACUGUAAUAUGCAGAAAUUCAGCAUUAAAAAUACACCAAUUACUAUGAAAACUACUAUUUACCAGUGAAAAUUCAUGAGAAUACAUCAAAUUUAUGUUAAAUAGCUUCGCACAACCAAAAAAAA